GUGGGGAAUAUUUCGCAAUGGACGAAAGUCUGACGGAGCAACGCCGCGUGAGUGAUGAAGGUUUUCGGACUGUAAAGCUCUGUUGUUUAGGACGAAAGUGCCUGUUGCGAAUAGUUACAGGUAUUGACGGUACUGAACGAGGAAGCCACGGCUAACUACGUGCCAGCAGCCGCGGUAAUACGUAGGUGGCAAGCGUUGUCCGGAAUUAUUGGGCGUAAAGAGCAUGUAGGCGGGAAUCUAAGUCUGUUGUGAAAAUGCGGGGCUCAACCCCGUAUUGCGAUGGAAACUGGGUUUCUUGAAUGCAGGAGAGGAAAGGGGAAUUCCCAGUGUAGCGGUGAAAUGCGUAGAUAUUGGGAGGAACACCAGUGGCGAAGGCGCCUUUCUGGACUGUGUCUGACGCUGAGAUGCGAAAGCCAGGGUAGCGAACGGGAUUAGAUACCCUUGUAGUCC
rnacentral:rRNA from 1 species